UUCAGGUCCUGGUCCUGGUUCGGAAGUUCCAAGUUAGCAGUGGACCAGCAAGUGAAAAAUUGUCGUAAUAUAUGUACUAUACCGGUAUAUUAUGUUCUGUUGAGUUGUCGGAAAUCUAAUGGGGUUUUUGUUUACAUUAUGCAUUCUAUGAUUUAGACAACGGAAACCUAAAAUAUAUGCUGUACAUAAGUAUAUAUAUGUACCGGUAAAUUUUUUUUUUUUGAAUAUUUUGUUGUCUGAAUGUUUGUGUUUUUAAAUUGAUGUAAAAUUAAUUUUUUCUCUUGCAAAAGAUAUAGGGUUUUAUCCAUCUAUCACAUAAUUUGGUUAAGCAUACAUGUUUAAUUGAUGAAAGUAGUCCAAUAUGUAUUAUAAAUGAAAGGGAAACUAUUUGAUAACUCAACCUACAGAAUACAUACACUGUAUGCAUGUGAACUCUGGAAAUAUUUAUAUUCUUAUGUAUGAGUAUUGUAAGCUACCCAGUGUAUAGAUAUGUUUGAUGAUGGCUGAAAAGAACUUUCACAUUCAGAUUAUAUAGAUAAUACAAAAUGUAAUAUUUCUUUUUAAAUUCCUAAAGGUUUCUUAUAAUACCAAGCUAUACUCUACAAAAGGAAGUAAAAUAUUUGGUAAUACAAAACUACCAUUAAGAAAAAAAUUGCAAGAUAUAUGUACUUGCCAAUUUUAAAGCCUUAGAAAUUUUAUGUUCCAUUUGUUGUUCAAGUUUCAAAACUAGCAGGGUCAUUAAGGAUUGUAAUAAUGAUGGUUAAUAAAAAAUGCAGUUA
rnacentral:misc_RNA from 1 species